CCUACGUUUUCAAGUCAAAUUUUUUGUUUUCUUCUGGGACCUGGCCAGUCACUGGGUGUAGAAAGGUGUUCCGUCUUUCAUUGUGGCUGGCCUCUGAAGGAGUCCCAGAGCCAUAUCCCGCCACGCUGGCAUUUCGGGGUCGGGGCACGGGUAACCAGGGGCCCCUGAGAAGGCUGGUAGGAGGUGGCAGAGGUGGCGGUGGACAGCAUGAGUGGCUC